AAAUAAGAAGCAAUUACUGCAUUUUAGUUUCGACCUAAAAAAUUUGAUUUUAUUUAAUCCUUAUUUU
rnacentral:tRNA from 1 species